GACGAACGCUGGCGGCGUGCUUAACACAUGCAAGUCGAACGGAAAGGCCUGCUUUCCCUUGUGGAUUGCGGGUACUCGAGUGGCGAACGGGUGAGUAACACGUGAGUGAUCUGCCCCCAACUUGGGUAUAAGCCUGGGAAACUGGGUCUAAUUCCCGAUAGGACUGCAGGGUGGUGCCUGUGGUGGAAAACGAUUUUCUAGUGGUUGGGGAUGAGCUCGCGGCCUAUCAGCUUGUUGGUGGGGUAAUGGCCUACCAAGGCGGCGACGGGUAGCCGGCCUGAGAGGGUGGACGGCCACAUUGGGACUGAGAUACGGCCCAAACUCCUACGGGAGGCAGCAGUGGGGAAUAUUGCACAAUGGGCGGAAGCCUGAUGCAGCGACGCCGCGUGGGGGAUGACGGCCUUCGGGUUGUAAACUCCUUUCGACCGCGAGGAAGCCACCUGGUUGGAAGGGUGGUGACGGUAGUGGUAGAAGAAGCACCGGCUAACUACGUG
rnacentral:rRNA from 1 species